CCACCACUAAGCCAGUGGUGAACUCCACAUACGCAUCCUUUGCUGAGGAUACGGUUAACGGAGCGAAAGCGACGUUCAACCGCAAAAGAAGCAGAGGGGGCUUAGUGGUGGGGUGACUGCGUACCUUUUGUAUAAUGGGUCAGCGACUUAUAUUCUGUAGCAAGGUUAACCGAAUAGGGGAGCCGGAGGGAAACCGAGUCUUAAUUGGGCGUUAAGUUGCAGGGUAUAGACCCGAAACCCGGUGAUCUAGCCAUGGGCAGGUUGAAGGUUGGGUAACACUAACUGGAGGACCGAACCGACUAAUGUUGAAAAAUUAGCGGAUGACCUGUGGCUGGGGGUGAAAGGCCAAUCAAACCGGGAGAUAGCUGGUUCUCCCCGAAAGCUAUUUAGGUAGCGCCUCGUGAAUUCAUCUCCGGGGGUAGAGCACUGUUUCGGCUAGGGGGCCAUCCCGGCUUACCAACCCGAUGCAAACUGCGAAUACCGGAGAAUGUUAUCACGGGAGACACACGGCGGGUGCUAACGUCCGUCGUGAAGAGGGAAACAACCCAGACCGCCAGCUAAGGUCCCAAAGUCAUGGUUAAGUGGGAAACGAUGUGGGAAGGCCCAGACAGCCAGGAUGUUGGCUUAGAAGCAGCCAUCAUUUAAAGAAAGCGUAAUAGCUCACUGGUCGAGUCGGCCUGCGCGGAAGAUGUAACGGGGCUAAACCAUGCACCGAAGCUGCGGCAGCGA
rnacentral:rRNA from 1 species